UGAGUUUGAUCCUGGCUCAGGAUGAACGCUAGCGGCAGGCUUAAUACAUGCAAGUCGAGGGGCAGCAAGGGUAGCAAUACCUGUUGGCGACCGGCAAACGGGUGCGGAACACGUACGCAACUUUCCCAAAACUGGUGAAUAGCCUUCCGAAAGGGAGAUUAAUACACCGUAAGAUGUAGGAGUGGCAUCACUCUUAUAUUAUAGCUCCGGCGGUUUUGGAUGGGCGUGCGGCUGAUUAGGUAGUUGGCGGGGUAACGGCCCACCAAGCCUGCGAUCAGUAACUGGUGUGAGAGCACGACCAGUCACACGGGCACUGAGACACGGGCCCGACUCCUACGGGAGGCAGCAGUAAGGAAUAUUGGUCAAUGGACGCAAGUCUGAACCAGCCAUGCCGCGUGCAGGAUGACGGCCCUCUGGGUUGUAAACUGCUUUUAUAGGGGACGAAAAAAGGGCUUUCUAGCUCGUCUGACUGUACCCUAGGAAUAAGCACCGGCUAACUCCGUGCCAGCAGCCGCGGUAAUACGGAGGGUGCAAGCGUUAUCCGGAUUUACUGGGUUUAAAGGGUGCGUAGGUGGGUCGGUAAGUCAGCGGUGAAAUCUUCGAGCUUAACUCGGAAACUGCCAUUGAUACUAUCGAUCUUGAAUCAUCUAGAGGUAAGCGGAAUAUGUCAUGUAGCGGUGAAAUGCUUAGAUAUGACAUAGAACACCAAUUGCGAAGGCAGCUUACUAUGGAUGUAUUGACACUGAGGCACGAAAGCGUGGGGAUCAAACAGGAUUAGAUACCC
rnacentral:rRNA from 1 species